GUGAGGUUGGUGAAACGGUUAUCACAUGAGCUUGUGGCGCUCCUGUUACGGGUUCGAUUCCCGUACCUCACC
rnacentral:tRNA from 1 species